rnacentral:rRNA from 1 species
GACAUAGGUCGCAAACGUUAUCCGGAAUUAUUGGGCGUAAAGAGUGUGUAGGCGGUGCUCCAAGUCUGGUGUGAAAUCUCCCGGCUCAACUGGGAGGGUGCAUUAGAAACUGGAAUGCUAGAGGAUGGGAGAGGUAAGCGGAAUUCCUGGUGUAGCGGUGAAAUGCGUAGAUAUCAGGAGGAACACCUGUGGUGUAGACAGCUUACUGGACCAUUUCUGACGCUGAGACACGAAAGCGUGGGUAGCAAACAGG